UGGGGAAUAUUGGACAAUGGGGGGAACCCUGAUCCAGCCAUGCCGCGUGUGUGAAGAAGGCCUUAUGGUUGUAAAGCACUUUAAGCGAGGAGGAGGGUACUGGUAUUAAUACUACCAGGUACUGGACGUUACUCGCAGAAUAAGCACCGGCUAACUCUGUGCCAGCAGCCGCGGUAAUACAGAGGGUGCGAGCGUUAAUCGGAUUUACUGGGCGUAAAGCGUGCGUAGGCGGCUAAUUGAGUCGGAUGUGAAAUCCCCGAGCUUAACUUGGGAAUUGCAUUCGAUACUGGUUAGCUAGAGUGUGGGAGAGGAUGGUAGAAUUCCAGGUGUAGCAGUGAAAUGCGUAGAGAUCUGGAGGAAUACCGAUGGCGAAGGCAGCCAUCUGGCCUAACACUGACGCUGAGGUACGAAAGCAUGGGGAGCAAACAGG
rnacentral:rRNA from 1 species